rnacentral:rRNA from 1 species
CCCUUAGAUGUCCUGGGCCGCACGCGUGCUACACUGACGCAUACAGCGAGCACUUUCCAGUUCCGAGAGGCUACUGGUAAUCAUCAAUAUGCGUCGUGAUGGGGAUAGAUCUUUGGAAUUCUGGAUCUUGAACGAGGAAUGCCUAGUAAUCGCAGGUCAUUAGCCUGCGAUGAUUAAGUCCCUGCCCUUUGUACACACCGCCCGUCGCUACUACCGAUUUCGAGUGGUCAGGUGAAUCUUUCGGACUGUGGGCGCCCUUGAGGUGUUCGCGGAAAGUCAGGUAAAUCUNANCACUUGNAGGAAGUAAANGUCGUNACA